CCUACGGGUGGCUGCAGUGAGGAAUAUUGGUCAAUGGACGAGAGUCUGAACCAGCCAAGUAGCGUGAAGGAUGACUGCCCUAUGGGUUGUAAACUUCUUUUAUAUGGGAAUAAAACGUUCCACGUGUGGGAUUUUGUAUGUACCAUAUUAAUAAGGCUCGGCUAACUCCGUGCCAGCAGCCGCGGUAAUACGGAGGAUCCCGACGUUAUCCGGUUUUAUUGGGUUUAAAGGGGGCGUAGGUGGAUUGUUAAGUCAGUUGUGAAAGUUUGGGGGUCAAACGUAAAAUUGCAGUUGGAACUGGCAGUCUUGAGUACAGUAGAGGUGGGCGGAAUGCGUGGUGUAGCGGUGAAAUGCUUAGAUAUCACGAAGAACCCCGAUUGCGAAGGCAGUUCACUGGACUGCAACUGACACUGAGGCUCGAAAGUGCGGGUAUCAAACAGGAUUAGAUACCCUGGUAGUC
rnacentral:rRNA from 1 species